rnacentral:rRNA from 1 species
UGCGCAGGCGGAAUGGUAAGUCAGUGGUGAAAUCCUACAGCUUAACUGUAGAACUGCCAUUGAUACUGUCAUUCUUGAGUACAUAUGAAGUGGGCGGAAUGUGUCAUGUAGCGGUGAAAUGCAUAGAUAUGACACAGAACACCGAUAGCGAAGGCAGCUCACUAAAUUGUAACUGACGCUCAUGCACGAAAGCGUGGGGAGCAAACAGGAUUAGAUACCCCUGGUAGUCC